AUUGAACGCUGGCGGCAUGCCUUACACAUGCAAGUCGAACGGCAGCACGGGAGCAAUCCUGGUGGCGAGUGGCGAACGGGUGAGUAAUGUAUCGGAACGUGCCCAGUCGUGGGGGAUAACGCAGCGAAAGCUGUGCUAAUACCGCAUACGAUCUAUGGAUGAAAGCGGGGGACCGUAAGGCCUCGCGCGAUUGGAGCGGCCGAUGUCAGAUUAGCUAGUUGGUGGGGUAAAGGCCCACCAAGGCGACGAUCUGUAGCUGGUCUGAGAGGACGACCAGCCACACUGGAACUGAGACACGGUCCAGACUCCUACGGGUGGCUG
rnacentral:rRNA from 1 species